GCAGCAGAGGCAGCAACAACGCCAGGCGCCGGGGUCCCAUGAGGAGCGCAGCGGAGUCGCGCCGGUGGCCGGCAGCCGGUGGGACCUCAAAGGGUCAGGACCUCACCUUUACAUCUCUUCAGAAAAAUGGCAAUUCCAACCGAACAAUGCCACUUCAUACCUUGCUGGCUAGCCACUGAUUCAGAACAGAGUUACAGGGAAAAUGCUCAGUUCUGGUUCACCUGCACUACUUCUUCCAGCUCCUGAACUUUUCUUUAAAGUUUAGAUGUUGGUAAUGAAAUCCUACUCCCAGGGUAGGAUUGCCAUCAUCAAUGAUGCUGGAGCACAAAU